rnacentral:rRNA from 1 species
UACGUAGGCAGCAAGCGUUGUUCGGAAUUACUGGGCGUAAAGAGUGUGUAGGCGGUGCUCUAAGUUUGGUGUGAAAUCUCCCGGCUUAACCGGGAGGGUGCAUCGAAUACUGGGGUGCUCGAGGGUGGGAGAGGUAAGCGGAAUUCCUGGUGUAGCGGUGAAAUGCGUAGAUAUCAGGAGGAACACCUGUGGUGUAGACAGCUUACUGGACCACUUCUGACGCUGAGACACGAAAGCGUGGGUAGCAAACAGG